CCUACGGGAGGCUGCAGUGAGGAAUAUUGGUCAAUGGACGAGAGUCUGAACCAGCCAAGUAGCGUGAAGGAUGACUGCCCUAUGGGUUGUAAACUUCUUUUAUAAAGGAAUAAAACGAGGCACGUGUGCCUUUUUGCAUGUACUUUAUGAAUAAGGAUCGGCUAACUCCGUGCCAGCAGCCGCGGUAAUACGGAGGAUCCGAGCGUUAUCCGGAUUUAUUUGGUUUAAAGGGAGCGUAGAUGGGUUGUUAAGUCAGUUGUGAAAGUUUGCGGCUCAACCGUAAAAUUGCAACUGAUACUGGCAGUCUUGAGUACAGUUGAGGUAGGCGGAAUUCGUGGUGUAGCGGUGAAAUGCUUAGAUAUCACGAAGAACCCCGAUGGCGAAGGCAGCUUACUAAACUGUGACUGACAUUGAUGCUCGAAAGUGUGGGUAUCAAACAGGAUUAGAUACCCGUGUAGUC
rnacentral:rRNA from 1 species